AAAGCAUAGUUGCCAAUGAUUAUUGCUGUUCAUUUCAAAGUGUACCGAAGAGAAAGAACACAUGCCGAUUAAACUGAUCAGUUUCUUUUCCAGCUACCUCUGGUACUCAAACCUGAUCAGACCAGACUGUUGGUAUCAGACGCGGAAGGAUGUUUCAAGAUCGGAUGAUGAAUGUUUGCCGUGUCAGAUGGAGAGGGGUGAAAAGAAUGAAUUAAAUUCACUUUGAUUGCAGGUAUAUUAUGUUUUGGUGUGUUCCUGUAUUGCAAUCGACUACUUUUUGUACAAACUGAUAUUUCCUUUCUGUGUCUACAGUACAGUGUGAUGCACUGUUAUUCACUAUUGUACAUUGUUUUCUUCUAUAAGCUGUACAAUGUUAUUAUAUGAUUUUUUUAAGUGUCUUUCUUAUAGCAGCCUUAAAAGGUCAUUUAAGAAACCACAACAUGAAACCAAAGUAUGAAUGUGAUCUUUGUACUGUUUUAUAAUUAAGAACUGCUUGCAGGCCUGUCUAACCUGAUAACCCCCUGUGGAAGGUUAGCACUUAGUUACAUCAAUGUCUUUGAAAACAUUUUUAAAAUAUCAUGGUCCUGCAGGUGUUUUCUAGUAGGAUCCUGAAAGCCAAUGGAAUGAACCAAAAAUACAACCAUAAUAGAAAUUACACGGAUAAUUACAAAUAUGAACAUGUAUAGGAUGGAUACAACAGUGAUUAUUCCUGUGGAUCUUCAUACCCCAGAAGUGACAGUGUGGGACUGAGAUCAAAUACUGUAUGUACAGGGAUUGUUCCGGAUUGCCACUCCCCAUGGGGGGGAGGCAUCCAAAAGUAGGUGGCCAAAGGAGGAGGCAUGAAUCAGGACCGAAAAACCUUGCAAGACGCCAACAGAACAUUCCGGGGCGUAACACCAGUCCAUCGAUGGGUACCCUAGCCAGUCAUACCCACAGUCACACAGAAUGGGCAACUGGUCUCACAGCCUUUGGGCUGUAGGAGGAAUCUUGCAGAAAUGCAGGGAGGGAGUGAAAACACCACGCAGAAGUGUGAGACAGUCCUGUUGCCAGAUGAACCACAAAGCCGCUUUGCUGCGAUUCACAGAGAUUUGGCCGGUUUCCACUCUUUGAGCCUUCGUUGGAGUUUCACGAGCUGCUAUAGCCCAAGUAGGUAGUGGGAAGCAGCUGUAAUCGACUCCCUCAAGGCACACUGGCUUCAGUCAUUGUGCUUGCCUGUUUAUUUUGGUCGUGAAGCCACACAAAAUGUUCCAGUGCUUAAAUGUGUCACCCGUGCUGCCAGUUAUUAAAAGCGCAGUGUCGGCAUGGCUGCUGAAGGGUUAAGUGCUGUGGUUAACUGGGCAAAAGAAUUUUAAAAGUACGCUCACACACGAUUAAACUAGCACACAGUCGAGUCUCAUGACAGGGGGAAAAGGUGAUGGAGAAAUAGCUUCCUGUUUUUUUGCACGUGUUCUCCGUGCUACCGUGUGCGCGUCAAUGCAUGCACUACGACACGCGUGCGUGAAUGUGCAUGCACGGGAGCCGUGUGCCUGCGUGACGGCGGAUGCAGGCGUGCGUGUUGUGGACCAGCGCAUGUGAGUGUACCCGGUAAAAGCCAUGCAGAAGGCUACGGAUGCGCAACCCCCCGUGCCACCACUUGCCACGCUUGUUUGUUCUGGGGCUUAACAGUCCUGAGAUCCCCGCCCCCCCCCCUCCACCCCCCCUUCACAGA